GAUGAACGCUGGCGGCGUGCCUAAUACAUGCAAGUCGAGCGACCGGACGAUAAGAUUUUUUUUUUGAUGUUAGCGGCUGGCGGGCGAGUAACACGUGGAUCACCUUCUUCUAUUUCGGGGAUCAUUUCGGGAAACCGGUUCUAAUACCAGAUGAUAUUUUGUACCGCAUGGUUCAAAAGAGAAUGACGGCCUUGCUGUCACUUAUAGCUGAAUCCGCGCUGCAUUAGCUAGUUGGUAAGGUAACGGCCUACCAAGGCGACGAUGCAUAGCCGAGCUGAGAGGGUGAUCGGCCACACUGGAACUGAGACACGGUCCAGACUCCUACGGGAGGCAGCAGUAGGGAAUCUUCGGCAAUGGGCGAAAGCCUGACGGAGCAAUGCCGCGUGAGUGAAGAAGAUCUUCGGAUCGUAAAGCUCUGUUAUUAGGGAAGAACAGAUGUGGGAGUAAAUGUGGACGUCUUGACGGUACCUAAUCAAAAAGCAACGGCUAACUACGUG
rnacentral:rRNA from 1 species